UACAGAGGGUGCGAGCGUUAAUCGGAAUUACUGGGCGUAAAGCGUGCGUAGACGGUGGCGUAAGUCGGGUGUGAAAGCCCCGGGCUCAACCUGGGAAUUGCAUUCGAGACUGUGCCGCUAGGGUGCGGAAGAGGGAAGCGGAAUUUCCGGUGUAGCGGUGAAAUGCGUAGAGAUCGGAAGGAACGUCAAUGGCGAAGGCAGCCACCUGGCAUCAUACUGACGCUGAGGCGCGAGAGCGUGGGGAGCGAACAGG
rnacentral:rRNA from 1 species